AGAUUACUGGUGUGUUUUAUUUACAGAUUUAGCGUGCCAGUGAAGGCGUUUUGUUUGUUUGGGUGGCCAAUAUGAGGGCAUGAAAUGGCGUUUAAAUUAGGAGUGAUUGCAAUCAAACUGCUAACACAGCUUUAAUGCAGGAAAGCGUUUUGGUUAUAGCGUCUUUGUUCGCCGUAGUCAAGUCGAUGCAAUCAGUCCGAAUCACCAGUGAGAUCAAUAGAGGCGAUUUGCGAGAAAACUGGAAGCCUAGGCGAAUGGCCGCUAUCCAUAGAGUCAUCCUGGACAGCUCAAUCAUUUGCAAGGUUUGUCUGUCUAUGUGGAAAGCUUUCCUGGAUGUGUGACGGUUGAAGGGCACUGGAAUAGGAUUCGCUCGGGAAGCCGCCUCACAGAUGUUUCUUUCAAGAAUAUCCACUGCAUGGUCAAGAUCUGCUGCACAUCUAAUUUCAGUGUUGAUUUUAGAAGAUGGCUAUUUAUUGUGUUGACAGCUGGAGCUUCACGAUAAUAAAUAAUUAGUGGAAGAUGAUCGGAACUAAGGUGAUGAGAAUCUUCAAUCUGAAGUAGUUCGCGACGAAUGCCUUUAUAUAUGGCGAAGUCAAUGGCGGAAGGCGAAUGGCGGGGAUUGUAUGGGAAGAGCGUGAGUUUCCCCACCACUGGCUUCGAGCGUUCCAGUCGCCUCCUAUGAUGUAGGCAUCCCCCAAGGAUAAGAACAGUUCAUGGAAAUCACUAUCAGACCAUCUUUGUUGUGGUGGGCAGUAGACGGAGGCAAUGUUAAUGGUUUUACUGGGAAGGAGAUUUAGCGAAACAACAGCACAUUGACAUCGCGCUGUAGGUGGAAUAUGGAGGGCAUAGUGCCUUAUGCUAUUUUUAAUGACAACUGCAACACCACCUCUUCGCCUAUUAGAAGGAUGGUUUGCUGUGUAAGCAGAGUACCCUUGAAUUUUAAUUGAGUCAG
rnacentral:misc_RNA from 1 species